AGUGAACGCUGGCGGUAGGCCUAACACAUGCAAGUCGAACGGCAGCACAGUAAGAGCUUGCUCUUACGGGUGGCGAGUGGCGGACGGGUGAGGAAUACAUCGGAAUCUACUUUUUCGUGGGGGAUAACGUAGGGAAACUUACGCUAAUACCGCAUACGACCUACGGGUGAAAGCAGGGGAUCUUCGGACCUUGCGCGAUUGAAUGAGCCGAUGUCGGAUUAGCUAGUUGGCGGGGUAAAGGCCCACCAAGGCGACGAUCCGUAGCUGGUCUGAGAGGAUGAUCAGCCACGCUGGAACUGAGACACGGUCCAGACUCCUACGGGCGGCAGCAGUGGGGAAUAUUGGACAAUGGGCGCAAGCCUGAUCCAGCCAUACCGCGUGGGUGAAGAAGGCCUUCGGGUUGUAAAGCCCUUUUGUUGGGAAAGAAAAGCAGCAGGUUAAUACCCCGCUGUUCUGACGGUACCCAAAGAAUAAGCACCGGCUAACUUCG
rnacentral:rRNA from 1 species